CAAUUCAAAUAAAACGUCUAAAAUUCUAUUUCGAUUUUUAAGAAAUAUUUUUCAAUAAUAUAUUAUGGAUCUCCUUAGAUGUUUCGUUUUCAGAUAAACUCCAUACGGUUCCCCCAUGCUUUUUGUUUCUCCAUUUAGCGGAGUCCCAAAGUCGUUCAAUAUGCUGAGUAUGGACCCCAGUAACUGAGCGGUACUCGCGGCGUCCAGAGGUAGUCGGGAUAACGGAAAAGUACCGUAAUUUUAAGUAGUAAUAACAAUAAUCACUAAUACAUUAAAUAAACUAUGAAUUUCAAUCAAUAUGUUUUUUUUUAUACUACAUUAAUUCCCAUCUUAAAAAAGUAAUCCUAUAUUGUAGUAUUGAGACUGAAUAAGUCAUUUUUCAUUAAAAUUUCAAUUUCAAAGAUUUACAUAUUUAAUAUUUUUUUACUUAUGCUUUAAACCCGAUUAUGUUUAAUCCAGACAGGGUGUAGUCCCUUCAAGUCUGGAUUUGAGAGAUUAAACUGUACUUGCAAACUCAUUUUACUAAUAGAAAGUUGUUAAAAUAUUAAGUUCUGACUUUAAUCUGCUAUAACUUAUGAGCAUUAAGUAAAAUUUACUCCAUGACACAGUUCCGAAUUAGUGAACAUAUUUACUUUCGAGCUAGUGUGUACUUU